AAUCAACGCUGGCGGCGUGCCUCAGACAUGCAAGUCGAACGAUUAAGACUUCCUUCGGGAAGUGUAUAAAGUGGCGCACGGGUGAGUAACACGUAAGUAAUCUACCUUCGAGUGGGGAAUAACAUCGGGAAACCGAUGCUAAUACCGCAUAACGCAGCGGCAUCGCAAGAUGACAGUUGUUAAAGGAAUUUAUUUCGCUU
rnacentral:rRNA from 1 species